GCUGCAGGACAAACCGGACGUGAUUUGGCAUAUUUCACUUUCAAAGAUGACAAACUGCGAGAUUCCAUCUAUAAAAUGUAUAAAUUUCUCUGUGAUAAAGGAUCUACUGUGGGAAAAUUGUACAAGCUCCUCUGCAGAUUUAGCGAUCAUCGUGCCCAAAAUAAGAAUUCUGAUCUCUAUUCGUUCCUCUACUCUGAAUACAAUGCACCAUCUCAGAGUAAACUAAGUUUUAGCAAGCCAACCUCAGAAAGGAGAAGUGAAAUUCGAACCCAGGAAAGCCCAGCCACCGAGGCAAACAACAAGUCCUUAUUUCAGUGCCAACUCGUCUUCAGCAACGGACUCGAAAUCAUGCGGGUUAUCUUCAGAUGA
rnacentral:lncRNA from 1 species